GGUGGCUAGUUAUAAAUUCCUCGGCUGUGUCUUAUUCAUCUCUGCUUGCCUUAUUUAGGGUAGUACCAGGCACCUCCUAGGUAGGGGUUCCCUAAACAAAUGAUGAAUGAACAGGGUCCCUGUCCUUCGAAAACUCACGGGCUAGGAAAGGGAAACUGAUGAGCAAGUUUGUUAUAGCGUUGGUAGUGGCAUGUCCCGGAGGGACACACAGGAAGGAUAAUCCAUUCCAGAGGGCAGGGUGAGGGGAAGAGUGGAGUGAAUUCAGCCUUCAUUGCUUUCACAAGCACUCUCUUCUGGACGGACGCUCCCAUUAAGUCUAACAACCAGGCUAUUUAGCGCCUCAGAGCCGAGAGAAUAUGUGCAAUGCCAUUGAGGAGCCAGGACACAGGGCUCUUGUGUUAGGUUCCUAAUGACGGUGAUAAAGAAGACGAUUUAGGCAUCUGACUAUUGCAUCCAGUAUGUUCUCUUUCCCUUUGCUAUCUCUCAAGUCGAGGCGGCGAAUGGGGAGAGGACCCCUGGGGGAUUCCCAGGUGCAGCCAUUUUGUGUAUGGCCAUUCUGCUUCCUGGUUCAUGACCCAACAGGAAGGACACAGCUGGGAGGGUCUUGAUCAAGGGCAGGACCAGAGAUGAGGCAGAUCUGGGCACUGAUAGAUGACGAUAAUUAAAAAGGACAGCAUUCUUGACAGGCAGAGCCCAGGAUGGGGCAGUCCCGAUGUAAACCCACAGUUUCGAGGAACCAGUUGGCCUUGGACCUCUCUGAAGAGCUCUGGAACCAGAAGGGGCUGGCGGUCCUCUAAGUCACCUUAGCCUACCUGGAGAGACCUCCGAGGCGGGAGAUGCAUAAUCAAAUAUAUAAGUAAAAAUUGACAUUUCCUUUGAGAACUACUUGGACAGUGACCUGAACAUCUCAAGAAAAACCUUGGUGGAAUUGCAUGAACCUGAUUUGGGUCAAAAUUAAGCACCACGCUGAAAAUCAUGCCUUUGUGAAAUGACAAAUUGAAAGUGUUCAGAAAUUGCAUUUGAACUAGUUGAGAUCCUGAUACAGCAGCCAGAAGUGACUAAGGCGACAGUCUUCAGGACACAGAGAAGCUGCUCCUUGUGAUGAAAGCCACUCUUCAAUGAGCUUUGUGCAGGCUGGUGAUCCACGUGGUCCUACCCCCCCUCCACCUGCCCCACCGUGUGUCUCUGUGGCAAACAACUCACAAGUGCAACAGUGGCCUGGCAGACUGAAAACACACUGACCUACAGGCCACUGCUAUUGGUAAGGUAAGAGGCUAUUUUAAAUGGCAAUUGGAAUCUCAAAGAGUGGAAAGCUUUUGUUAAAAAUCCACCCUCAGGCACAGGAAGCAAGAUCUAGUAGCAGAACUUAUUGGCCAGAAAAGGGAAGGCCACACAGGUAGUGAGAACCUAAUAAUGCCUGUAAAAUUUCAGUGAGUAAAUUGCCAGGACAAGAUGCAGUAUGAGGGAUUGGAAAGGUUUCACUCUCAGGGAAUACAAUAUCAAUCAAUGUAUUGAUGGGAUGUCGCAUGAUGCUGAAGAGGUUCAUGCAAUAAACUGAAAAGCAGUAUCUUCUCUGUCUAGGUUGAUGUGUCAACAGAUUUUGCCAAUACACGUCUUAGUAUUUGUAAGGCUUAUAAAUGA
rnacentral:lncRNA from 1 species